rnacentral:lncRNA from 1 species
CACUGAGUAACCUACUUGACCCUGCCCAUCUGUGAAUCAACCCAUCUAGCAAACCUGCUAUUCUUGGUGAGGCCAAGUCCUGCCAACAUGUUAUGUUUAUGAGGAGCCAGCCCAGCCUAGCAGUGUAUUGACAUGGAUCACUGGCAGUGAUUCAUUGUAAAGCACUCAGCACCAUGCCUGCCAUACAUUAAGUACCAUAGAAAGGUUUGUGAUGAUGAUGAUGAUGAUGAUGAUGAUGAUGAUGAUGCUUUGCCAUGCAGUGAAUUUCAUGAGAAUUCUCCAGAGAACAAAAGGAAAUUUAGUCUCCACCGUCCUAGAGUUUCAAGUUUUCAUGGCCAUGUGUUCCCUACAAGAGUGUUUCACUACCAAUAUCCACUUUACUUCUCGCCAUCCUAGCCUCUGUGUCUUCAUGAGAGAGUGCAAUUCCAGUUUGGAGAUAGGGCAGGGGAGGGCAAGUAUAAAACAGUAUACCUUGGAAUUACUCUUCUUGAAUUCAGCAGAUCAAGUUGGGCCAUAUUUGUCUAUAUUGCACCUUUUCAUCUUUGGUUACAUCGAAUGAGCUUCAGGGGUGGUGCAACGAAGGUAUUUGCAGUUUAAAGCUAUCUUACUGUGAAAUAAAAGUUUUUCCUGGAUAAAGGAAUUUCA